rnacentral:misc_RNA from 1 species
AAAACCUCACCUGGUUUCUUGCUUUCGAGCAUUGAGCUGUGGUGGUUUUGGAUUUUUGCAAUUGCAAUCAUCUUAAAGUGAUUGUUUGUGCACCAAUGUAAACUUUUGGUUGUUCAAGUGCAACAGAUUUAUCUUUUUCGCUUUGACAUCUGAAUAGUCUCUUGAUGUGCAUUCUCAAUUAAAUUGUUGGAAUUCAAAUCAGUAUGAUUCGGCAUUCCCAAAA